rnacentral:rRNA from 1 species
GGGCCAGACUCCUACGGGAGGCAGCAGUGGGGGAUAUUGCACAAUGGGGGAAACCCUGAUGCAGCGACGCCGCGUGUGGGAAGACGGUCUUCUGGAUUGUAAACCACUGUCCCCAGGGACGAAAAUGACGGUACCUGGGGAGGAAGCUCCGGCUAACUACGUGCCAGCAGCCGCGGUAAUACGUAGGGAGCGAGCGUUGUCCGGAUUUACUGGGUGUAAAGGGUGCGUAGGCGGCUGUGCAAGUCAGUAGUGAAAUCCAUGGGCUUAACCCAUGAACUGCUAUUGAAACUGCACAGCUUGAGUGAAGUAGAGGUAGGCGGAAUUCCCGGUGUAGCGGUGAAAUGCGUAGAGAUCGGGAGGAACACCAGUGGCGAAGGCAGCCUACUGGGCUUUAACUGACGCUGAGGCACGAAAGCGUGGGUAGCAAACAGGAUUAGAUACCCGUGUAA